UUGCAUACCCUGGCAUUCAUGGCCUUGUGGUUCUUUUUGGUCUUCUUGAGGAAUUGCUUGAGGCUGCCUGACGACACGUACUCUGUGAUGAAGAUGACCUGCCAGGUGGCAAACUCACGGGCUCCACCAACAGUGGGUGCCCACAGCCACCCCACCCACUGGUACCACACCCACUGGUGCCCUACCACCCUAUGGUGUGCCCCACCACCCCAUGGUGUGCCCCACCACCCCAUGGCGUGCCCAGGGGCUCACCCGCGCUCGGGACUCUGAGGCAUCCAGCCAGUACUUAUGCAGCUUGACAAUAUUGGGGUGGUCUACCAGCGCCAGCUGCUCAAACAUGGUCUGGAUCUUCUCCUGGGAAGGGGGGUGCAGUCACCAGGAUGAUGGGGGGGUGGGGGGGUGGGGCAGCGGGCCUUACCUCAUGGACCAAGAAGGCCUUCCUGUCAGCGAAGUGCAGCUCGUUCCACACCACCUCCACCCCCUCCUCAGUGUCCAUGGCCAGGAACGUGCUCUGGACCCCCGGCAUGUUUCCCUGAUUCACCUGCUCCCGCCGCUUGUGCCAGCGGCCAGAGGGGCCCAGGCUGUCCCUUUCCGUCGGUCCCUCACCUGCAGGCUCCUCAAAGGUGAGGAUGCCCCCGCGGCCGAGUCUCUGCCAACUCGCCAGAGGCCCACCCCCAGAGCUUCGCCGGUUCUCGAAGUAGAGCGUGAGCAGCUCGUCUGGGACGCUGGGGGGCAGACCACUGAGCUCCACUGCCGCUCCCGCCUCCAACUCCGCCUCUCCCAUCGCCACCCUGGGGCCAGAAGAGGGGGUAGGCAGCAGCCCCACCGUUCCACCUCACGCAGCCCGGGUCCCUUGGUAGCGUUCCCUGAGGUCCCCUUCACUGUGCAGGCGACCUACAUCCCCCCACUUACGCUCCCCGACCCCAGCCUGAGCUGCCCCAACCCGGGCCUUCAGCCAGGACUCCCUCCCCACACCCUGGGACAGGAAAGCAAAAGCGAAACUGUUGCAGGAAGGGAGGAGCGAGCAGUACUGCGCGAGUGUGGCCUUUCAGGUGCUUCCUUCUCAGGCUCCUCCUGCAGGGAUGUUCCAGCCCCGCCCCCGCCCCGCCCCUCCGGCCCUCCAUCAAAACUUCCCCCCNNNNNNNNNNNNNCCGCCCACCAGUCCCGUCCGUUUGUCGUCUGUCCCACCCCAGCCCAGUGGCUGCAGGGUGGGGGGAGUGGCCCCUGGAGGUCCUCCACUCCCACUGGCCCUUCCCUGUGAACCUCAAGACGGCCAAUCACCCUCCCUGGUAAAUACGCCGGGGUUCUUGAGUCAUUGCCCCCAACUCAAAGACCUCAAGCCUCUGUGUUCCCUUCCCCCACUGCAGAGACUUUGGGUCUGCCUGAGGCUGGCUUUCGACUCUCCCCAGCAACCUUGGUGCCUGCACCUGCACUCACCCUUCAACAACUCAAAGGUGGCCGACCUCCCACCUGGCGAAGGUGAGCAGCUCAGCUCCUGACCCUGGAGGGGUACGUCCCGUCCCCAUCACUGCUGGCCCAAGGCACUGCCAUGCCUCUCGCCCGGCUGCACCUUUAGAACCCACACUCCCUCUUGCCAUCCAGUCACCCCUUCCCUGGUGCCCGUAUUCAUUGGCUUCCAGCCUCUGGAAGAGUUGUGCCCACAGUGCUCUCCACCCCCACCUCCCACUUAGCCCUCAGCCACAAAAACUCCCCUUAACCCCUGCUACUUCUGCAAGGGAUUGAGGGCCUGUCCAGUCUGUACCCUGAGCUGCCCCCACCCUGGUCCGAGCCUGUCAUCUCUCGUCUAGAUCACGUGUCUGACUUCUGAACUGAUCUCUCUCUGCCACUCCUGCCCUAUCACACUGUCCAACCUCAACAGAGGGCCUUAAAAGUCACACCAACAGCUGCUAGAGAUUGGACCAUGAUGAAGCCAAAGUCGUUUGGAAGACCUGUCAGGCUGUACUGACCAGGCCCCAGUCCCUGCUGGCUGAAUGCCCCUGUAUCCCCCGAGCUCCGUCAUCCAGUGCAGCAGACCCUCCCUCCCUGACACCUUUGUACUGGCCCUUCCCUCUUCUAGACCAGCCUUUCCCACAGAGCCACCUGGCCACCCCUCCCCCCAACUCACCUUGCUAGGUUCUUGGUGGCAGGUUUAACUUGAACUUAAAAGUCUUCAAGGACCCUCCUAAAGCCCUGACCUCAACUUCACUUUUGUCAUUUUUAGUUUUUUUCUUUAAAAAAGGACCCUCAAAUUGUAUUAACUUCUAGUUGUACAAAACCUGAAGUCACCGCUGCCUGCUCUAUGCUUUGUCUUCUCAUGGAACUCAUUGUCAACAAAGGUCCAUGUAGUCAAGGCUAUGGUUUUUCCAGUAGUCAUGUAUGGAUGUGAGAGUUGGACUAUAAAGAAAGCUGAGUGCCGAAGAAUUGAUGCUUUUGAACAGUGGUGUUGGAGAAGACUCUUGAGAGUCCCUUGGACUGUAAGGAGAUCCAACCAGUCCAUCCUAAAGCAGAUCAGUCCUGGGUGUUCAUUGGAAGGACUGAUGCUAAAGCUGAAACUCCAAUCUUUUGGCCACCUGAUGCGAAGAGCUGACUCAUUUGAAAAGACCCUGAUGCUGGGAAAGAUUGAGGGCAGGAGGAGAAGGGGACGACAGAGGAUGAGAUGUUUAGAUGGCAUCCCCGACUCAAGACUCAAUGGACAUGAGUUUGGGUAGACUCUGGGAGUUGGUGAUGGACAAAGAGGCCUGGCAUGCUGCAGUUCAUGGGGUUGCAAUGAGUCGGAUACGACUGAGUGACUGAACUGGACUGGAACUCAUUGCCCUCUAACACAAUGUAUAAUUUACUUAUUAUACCUAUACCUACUGUGGAGGAUCUACCCCAGGUGGCAGUGUGCCGGAACAACUCACAUCAUGACGACAACAUUGUUCAAUUUGGGGGAAUCUUUGUGAGUCAGUUUGUAAACUGGUGGUCAGUCGAAAUAAGCCAUGAUGCGGUAUUUAUGCCAAGGACAUGUGCAAAGGCACAGAUCAGGGCUUCCCCACGUUGGGGUCAGUUUUUCAACACGGAACCAACACAUCCCCUGCACAGGACAGAGCCUUUCCGAACCACUGCCAGGCCUGGGAGAGGCCACCAUCCAGGAGUCCAGAAAGUAUAGUAGGACUCCUAGGCCCCAGGGGGAGAGGCACUCCUGCAGGGACUCCAGGAGACAGCGCCCCAGGGGAUGUCCCUGACUGGGGCAGGCAGUGCUUCUUCUCAAGACCACUGAAGCCUAGGGAAGUUAACUUGACCUCCGGUUCUGGGGCAUCUCUAAGCCUCAGUCCCUCAGCAGAGAAACAGGGCUAAGAACGCCACCCUUACUGUUUGUGAGUUUGUGAAGUGAGAAUGAAUGAUCUAGUGGGGACCUAGACUAGCUUAACGGAGAGGACUGAGCAAUUAUACAAUCAGGUCUCUUGAUCUGGGAUAGCCUUGGAUGAAAUGGAAAGUGGGGUUUCAAGGUCAAGGAGGGAUGGAGAGUGCUAGUCAAAACUCAGCAAAUCUCAAAUUUAGGAAUAAAUUUCUCGACUCUGACCCAAAUUGGAGAGGCCAGGUGUCAGCCUCCAGGUCUAUAGCUCUCAGAGCCCAAGCCCAACUCUCUGUGGACGAGCGCGAGAAAGACACCAGCAGGGCGGCGGAAUGGGGCAGGAUCCAUCCGGGGAGGCGCCGCCCUCCCGCAGAGCCCCGUCCGCGGCCCCGCCCCCCGCCCCGCCCGCGGCCCCGCCCCGCCA
ensembl:lincRNA